GUCACCACUCACACCACAAGAAAGGCGACUGUCUGCCCCUUCGGAGCUCGCUGAUUUGGGGAAGACGUUGCGAACGAGAGCCGCAGUGGGUGUCCCGAGGAUACUGUUCGUGUAUCGCUGUAAAUCUGGCCGGGACAGCGCUGCAAUGUGUUAGGAACUAGCCUCCACAGUGAUCCUGCUGAGCUAUUUGGGGGUCUUUGCCAGCAUCUGCUACGUGGAAUCGGUACCUUAUGUGUUUCUGAAGGCAAAGGCGGCUGCAACAUUAACAAGAGAGCUGCCCUCUCAGAGCCCAGUAGGCAAUCCAGGUCUGUCUGUCUCUGCAGCCUUCAGGCUUCAGACGUCCAAUAAAGGGAGGAAGUGGUACCUGACUGAAGCUCCGUUCAGGAAUAAUAAAAGCACAAAGCUG